GCACCCCCAGUCUUUCCAUCCUCCUCAUUCGUCUAGGGGCACCCGAAUCCACUAUUCCUUAUUUCCCCUAUCACUCAGGCACUGGCAGGGUCCUUUGCUACUCCUGUUGGCCGCCGCGGCUCCAAAGCGAGCUGGGCAGAUGUGCCUGAGACAGGUUUGACCAGGCAACUGAAAAGACAUCCCUAAGGGAAGACAAAGCAAAGGUAUGAAAGGAACACAUGUCCCUGACUGACUAGGAGGAACAGAGCUGCCUGCUGUCUGGAACCGCUUCCUCCCAGACUAAGGUUUCCCAGAGGAAGAGAGAGAAUUUGGACAAAUGAAUGAGGAACAACGCUCUCCUGAGGGUUUUCUUUAAGGGGCGAGGAUCACUGCCGCUAGCUCCUUUGAAAGCAGAAUUAAGAGGCAGUGCAGGAAGGCACAGCAGGAAGGCUCAUGGUUAGACUACAGAGAAGGAAGCAGCCACUGCUGGGGACCUACCCUGUGCUGGUCACUGACAAGCUGUCUCAUUAAACCUUCCCAGACCCUCAACCCCUCUUAGUAUCUUAUCCUCAUUUUACAGAUGAGAAGACUGCGGCCCAGAGAGGUCCAAUGCCAGUGGGAUCAGCUUCGAUGGGAUGCACACAGACUGACCUCUUCUCCCCAGCCCCUUCAACUUCCCAGAGCUGCAGGGGGCCUGGGAGUUCUUGAUAACAGCACAUUAAACCUCUGUUUGUGGGAA
rnacentral:lncRNA from 1 species